AAAGGACAUAAUAGAAGGGCAGAUCCGCCGAAUUUAAGCAUAUAAUUAAGCGGAAGAAAAGAAAAUAACAAUGAUUCCUUUAGUAACGGCGAGUGAACAAGGAUUAGCUCAAAAGGAAAAUCCCUUAGUUUGUGCAAGCUUACUUUGGGAAUUGUCAUGUUGAGUAAUUUUCCAGAUGAAUGAUUUAGCAUUUAAGCGAAGUGAGCAGGAAAGCUCCCCCUAAGAGGGUGAAAGGCCCGUAGUUUUUUGCUUUUUAUUUUUUUGGAAUUUUACUUGUGGAGUCGUGUUCUUUGAGAUUGGAGCACAAAUGUGUGUGAUACAUUUCACAUAAAGCUAAAUAUGUGUAGGAGACCGAUAGCAAACAAGUACCGUGAGGGAAAGAUGAAAUAGUACUCAGGAAUGAGCCAUUAAAUAGUACCUGAAAUCGUUAAGGUGGAACGGAUUAAGAGAGGAAGAAUAGUAAAGUGGGGAAAUGGUUCUUCCGAAUUAUUUUUUCCUCUUUAUUAUAAAAAGGAUUAUCAGUGAAUUGGGAUAGCAGAAACGAAACCAUAUAUGUUUUUUGUAUAUAUGAAGACAGGGACGUAAUGGAUAUUGCGAUCUUCUGUGCUUUAAAAUUAUUGCCUCUAGAUUUUCGGAUUUAGGUCAAGGCAAUAUAACGGUUUACUUGAUUUUCCCCCCAGGAAAAUUAUAUAUCCUAUUUACUGAGGAACCAUUUAAAUAGUAAAAAAUUAAGUCUUUUGUUUUCUUUUUUUUACCUUUUAUGAUAAUCCUAACAACUUUAGUGAACUUUCUUAACCCACCCGUUUUGAGACACGGACCAAGGAAUCUACCAAACAUGCGAGUGUAUAUGUAUAGAGCUAAACAAGUUUAUCACUUUUUUUGUACGCGACGGCAUAUUUUGUAUAUAUGUAAUUUGUAGAAUGAGGGAGUCUUUAUAAUUUUCUCCUGGGCAUACAAUACCGGUGGGCAGCCAUGUAUAAUGCUGUACCGAGUAAGAGCAUAUUUGAUAGGACCCGAAAGGCUUUGAACUAAGUGUGGUGAGACUGAAGUCAGUCGAAAGUCUGAUGGAGGGUCCAAUUGAUACCGAUGUAACAAUCGUUCAUUUCAACUGCAUUUAGGGGUGAAAGACCAAACGAAAAGCCUAAUAACUGGUUAUUUUCGAAGGAUCUCUCAAGAUCGCUGGAGUUUGCAGCAUACGCAGUUAUUCAAAUGGAAAGGUGAGUAUUUUGUAAUCUGUUUGUAUGCAAAUGCGUGUACAGGAUUACAAUAUAUAUACUUUUGGCAUGAGACCAAUGGAUCGUAUCCGGUUGCGGGUGUCACUUUCGUUCGCGGGGUGAUAUUUCGUUUGCUGGGACGAAUUCUCUCUCGAUUUUCCGAAAUGUACUAUAAGGAAAAUGUGAACAUAGUUUAACACUAAGUUGUACGUCAUUCCAAUUUUUGGCGCCUUCUCUGAAUUUAAUGAUAACUCCAAGUGGACCAUUUCCGGUGAGAGGAAAUGGCUGUGAGGGUUCGACCUAACGCCUGGAUAAGGUGCCUAAAUAUUCGCUAAUUAGAUCCCAUAAAAAAAGGUGUUGGUUUGUACUGACAGCAGGACGGUACUCAUAGAAGUCGAGAUCCGCCAAGGAGUGUGUUCCAACUCACCUGCCGAAUGAACUUGCCCUGAAAAUGGAUGGCGCUAAAGCGGAUUACCGAUACCGGGCCAUAGAAGGAAUGAGAUGUAACAUUGUGACAUUUUCAUGUUGUCACCCUUUUAUGAGUAGAAAAUCGUGGGGUUUUGUGUCGAAGCGAAAUGCGUGAGCUUUCGUGGAACAUUUCCCUAGUGCAGAUCUUGGUGGAAGUAGCAAAUAUUCAAAUGAGAACUUUGAAGACUGAAGUGGAGAAGGGUUUUUUGUCAACUGUGUUUGUACAAAAGUUAGCCGCUCCUAAGAGGCAACCGAAGGGUUGGAAAAUGGCCGGGAAAAGAGAUUACACAGUGUAUGCAUAUAUAUUGUGUGCAUACAUAUAUAUAUACGUAUAUCUAUGUAUGCCACACAUGUAUAGGCAUACGUUGUGUAGUUCUGGCCCCCCCGCCUCCUCAAAAGGGAAACAGGUUAACAUUCCUGUGCCAUACGAAUGGUAUAUAAAACAUAACGUUCAGGGUUUUUUUUUCCAGAAAAAAACAGAAAGGUGGUAACAUAAAUAGCAAAUGAACUCCUUAACAUAGGCCUUACAUUCGAGGUGCGUUAUCUUUGCACUUAACUUUGCGGCAAACCUCGGAGUAGCAAUUUACUUGGAGAAGAGGUAUGCUGAACCUGCAUAUCGGAGAAAAACCUGCACAUUGGAAUGGGAAUCCCUGUUCUUCUAUGCAGUUCUUCUCCGACCUUUGUAGUAAUAGUAAUUCUUUUUUUUACGGAAUUAUUCGAAAGCGUAAGGACUAUCCUUGAAAAAAGGAGGGAACAAGUAAAUUUUGAAAAUAGAGGAGAAAUUCCUGUUCCAGCGGGGAAUUUUGUUCCUCUUCACAUUUUCAUAUAUGCUGAAUACCAUUGUUGUGCGUACCGAAUAACCGCAUCAGGUCUCUAAGGUUAGCAGCCUCUGGUUAAAUAGAACAAUGUAAGUAAGGGAAGUAAGACAAAUUGGAUCCGUAACUUCGGGAUAAGGAUAUGGCUCUGAUGAUACUAAGCGAAGAUCCAUGAUGGGGUGGUUAGUUAUUCUUAUAGGUCUGGGGGUGAACGGAGGCGUAUAUAUAUGAAGGCUGUUCUGGAUGAUUUUUCAUCCGUUCAUACUUUUUAUAUGCUCGUUCUGUUCCCCCCUGCUAUAUAUAUUUCUUUACACCCUUUCUUUCGUACUGCGAAUGUUAUCGUAUUUCCUAUUUAAGUGCACUGCACCAGCGUGUCUUAAAAUGGGGCAGGCCAUGACUGACGUAGAUAUAUAAAGUGUCGAAUCAGAACUGAAACUGACAAGAGGAAUUUGACUGUUUGAGACAUAGCACUGUGAACGCCCUCAGAGAGUAGGUAACAUGUACGUGUAUGCGUAUAAUGUAUAUAUGUUUAUGUAUAGGUACUCUAUUGGAGCACACUUGACGCAGUGUGAUUUCUGCCCAGUGCUUUUGAGUAACCAGAGUGGCUGUAAUUCAAUAAACGCACAGGCAAAUGGCGGAAGUAGUUGCUACAGCUUCUAAUAUUAGCCAAGUGUUUCGUCAUUAUGCACGCCCUCUGAUUCUUGCUAGGGGCUUAUAAUACUAUGAAGCAUAGGGCCUGUGAGACGGGUGUUCUAUCUGUCCCUGCAUGCCUUAUGUGGUAAUAUAUUAUAUACCUAUGGUUUAGAUGACGGCCUGGCGAUUUUAAUAAUGCAGAUCACUUAGAGCAGAUAAACAAAAUUCCUGCUGUCCCUACUUGCAAUCUAGCGAAACCACAACCAAGGAAUACAGGCUUGGUUAAAUCAGUUGGGUCAUAGAAGACCUUAUUGAACUCGACUCCAGGUAGGUUCUGUAAAAAGGCUCCCGAUUGUGUAGCAUAAGUGGGAGCGGAAUUCUGAAAGAUGUUUCCGCGCAAGUGAAAUACCACUCCAUCCAAAGUCUUUUUACUCAUCCUUUAGUGUGGGGAUCAAAGGAGCAGAUACGUAUGUAAAAACGUAUGUAUUAUGCUCUUCCCCUUAAUAGCAUUUUAUGGAGACACAGCCUAGUGGGGAGUUAAUUUACAGCGCCACUAUAUUUGCCUUUCAUCUUUUAUUUCGAUAAAGGGUGGAAGGUAUAAUAUGUGAAUGCAGUUAGCAGACUCAGAGAGAACAGAAAUCUCUUGUGGACUUUGCGAUAUAAGAAAUGUCUGUUAAGGUAGUACUUCUUCUUAUGGGGGAGUUGUAUGGCCUGUAAUUAUCACGUCCUUAUUCCUGCGAGGACGUCAUGGUAUGGGCAUCGCGGAGAUGCGUUUGCGCACACGUAUAUAUGUAUGUAUGUGCAUAUGUACAUACGUACAUAUGUACGUAAUGCAAUUGCGUAUAUCUGCGUAUGCCCCCUUCCAUAUGAUGUGCAAAUAAGGGGUGAUAGGAAAAGGGUUAUAAUAGGGAUAACUUUCUUGCGGCCGCCGAGCGACUUUAGCGACGUAGCUUUUUGACCAUUUUGUAAUAUCAGCAUUUCCUAUCAUUGGGACGAAGAAGUCCCAAAGUGUCGGAUUGUUCAACCGCUAACAGGGAACGUGAGCUGAGUUUCGGGCAGUCAUGAGACUUGCCUAGUUUUUAACCUACUGAUGAAAAUUGUUAAUUUAAUAACGCAUUGAUAAUGUGACGGUAAUCCAACUCAGUACGAGAGGAUAAGUUGGUUCAGACAUUUGGUACAGGAAUUGGUUGACAAACCAGAGUUCCGAAGCUACGUCUGUUGGAUGAUAAUGGCUGAAUACAUCUGAAGCCAGAAUCCAUGCUGAAUAAACAUUACUGUAAGCGUGUUCUGUAUAAUUUGGCUUUUCGAAUGUUUUGCUUUAUAAGCAAACUGGAAAAAGAAUAGAUAUAUUUGCUUUCUUACUUUUGUAGGAUAACAGUAUAUUAGUAACCCAUCUGCCAAAGUAUUUCUCAAAGUUGAAAGAAGAGAGGGGGUAGCAUUGCGUUACAGAGAUUGUGGCUAUCUAUGGUAGAAGCAGCUAUGUUCUAUUUUUUCCAAACUGUAGAGUGACAUUACGCUUCCUUUUGCAGUGUGGUAGAAUGAGCGGUUUGUUGUUAUACCUAUGCUCCCGUAUUACUUUUUAAGUUACGGUCGAGGGUGGGAAACAACCGGGUUGCCCUUUUUUCCAUUUUUCAGUUGCUUGAACCUGGGAUGCUAUGCGGCCUCUUCCCUUGUGAAGACUGCGAAGAAUACUUUUCACCAUAAAUUUUAUAAUACAGAAUACAAUUAGAAAAUUGCCUGUAGACGACUCGAAUUCCCCCUGGUGCUGUAAACAUGAAAGUAAAUCUCAUUUUACGAUCUGUUGAGGCUCAUCCGUGGGUGUUUAAUUUUU
rnacentral:rRNA from 1 species